rnacentral:rRNA from 1 species
CAGCAAUGGCCGGAGCGCGGUUGAACUUUUGUAAAUUUGGACGACUAGAGGAAGAAGAAGUCGUAACAAGGUUUCCGUAGGUGAACCUGCGGAAGGAUCAUUAGCGUUAAUUGGUCUUGGUGCCAUGCGAAAAACAUGUGGAUUGUGGGCUAUGUGA